CUUCCUGACAACUGAUACGGGAGCACGCAAGCUGGUGUUAUUGCAGUCUUACUUUGAAUGCCCAAAACAAAGUCAGCGAGUCCUCUUUUGUGUAAGACAUAGUGUAACUCACCUGAGGACCAUGAUGAAGGAGGGGAAUCUAUUUGAUGUUGUUCUCAUUACAAGACUGCCAAGAAUCUCAGGAGGAUGUGGCUACAUCGCCCCUUUUGGAGGUGAUUGGAGGUCACUACACUUGGAUGAGCUGAUUCCAACCCUUGGGUUUUCUGGUGACAUAUAUCAGCUACAGAGGAAGACUGUCUCGGAGAUCCUGCAGGAGAGCUCUGCCUCAUGCUUUGGUAAUACCCAUUUUACAAUCAA